rnacentral:lncRNA from 1 species
GUGCAAAUUCUUCCUUCAUCAGCAAAGACAAUUUGCUCUGGGACACAGCUCCAAAUUGCCGGCAUGCUCAUUUAUGCUGUGGGAGAACAGCAUAAAUGCUCCUUUUUCACUGUUCUACUACUUACUGCUGUUGCCAAAGACACCAGAAGCCAAAUAACAGAGAGUGCAAACAACUUGUUCAAGGUCAUUGGACUGAAAGUGACAGAGGCAGGACUCUGUCCCACAUGCAAAGACUCCACGCAUCAUGCCUAUGAUACUCAGAGAAGAAGGCUAUCAUUAUAAAGAUCUAUACUUGAUGCUAGAAAUUCAAGACCAGCCUGGGCAACAUAGCAAGACUCUCGUCUCCACAAAAAAGAAAAAAAAAUUUUAAAAUAGGCAUAGUGGAGCACACUGGUGGUAGUCUUAGCUACUCAGGAGACUAAGGUGGGAGGAUCCCUUGAGCCAAGGAGUUCGAGGCUGCAGUGAGCUAUGAGCACACCACUGCACUCCAGCCUGUGCAACAGAGAAAGACCCUGUCUCU